GGAACACUAACUUUAGUAAGAUAUAACUUUAAGUGAACAAAUUUUAAAGUCAGGUCCUAAUUCACUCUGAGAUUUUACAUGAGAUACAUACACAUGGAUCAAAAGACAAAAGAGUGCUGAGCAUGUGGCACACACCUAUAAUCUCAGUGGCUUGGGAAUCUGAGGAAGGAGGCCAAGUUCAAGGCCACACUCAGCAAUUUAGUGAGAUGUUGUUUAAAAAUAAAACUUGCAAUAAGAAAAAUUGCUAGGGGUGUGGCUCAGCAGUAGAGAGACACACCUGAGUUUAAUCCCUAGUACCAAAUAAUAACAAUAAUAAUAAUAAUACAAAGAGUACAAGCAUCAGUUGUCAUCUAUUCUGAAUUGCAUAGUUUUCAUGACUGAAUGACCAAAGUUCACUGCCCUCAGUCAAACCUUGGGUACCCUGGUUUGGCUUUAUGUGGAGUCCUUAGGUAUCUCAACUUUUCUAUCCACAAGAAAUAUUAAAUGAACCUUCACAGAAUUCACUCAGAGAUUGAAGGGACUUGGUGAAAUCAUCCCAGGCUCUGCCUAAUUGACUGAUUUUUGUUUUGCUGGACAAGAAAUCUUAUGCCAUUACUAUAGAUAUGUUAUUAAAUAAUAAUAAUUUUAAAAAUGCUUUAGACUCAUAGUUGUGAGAUUUAGAUUCUAAGCAUGUUUUGUUACUAAUGGGUUUUGUCACCUUGAGUGAGACUUCUCUCACUUUUUCACCUCAAUUCCUCAUGUUGAAGAAGGAUUAAUAAGAACAAAAUAAUUUAUUCUGCACUUUUUCUGAGUCAGAGAUUACUAGUUUUAUGUUAUAUCUUUAAGUCUUUAUAAAAUUGUGUAGUGGAAAAUGAUAAAAUUAUAAAUUUGUCUUCACACUCCCAAUUAACUGGUGCAGAAGCUGUGGUCUAAAAGCUUUAAGUGACACAACAAAAAAAAAUAUUCUCAAAAUUCUUCCAACCUAUUUGUAAUUUUUUUUAAAAGGCCAGGUUGACUGUAUUAUUUUCCCUAAGAUGUUUCUCUCAGACACUUGCUUGCUAGUUGGUGCUCAACACAGAAGCUAAAGUGUGAAGUGUUUUGCAAUCUGCCUCCUGCUUCUUUCUACCACCCUCACUCUGAAUUUCUGAUAUAAACCUCAUCAUAGGCAUCUCAAAGGCAAUGGCAUAACUGGCAGGACACUAGGUAGCAAAUCCUGGUCUCCAUCCAUCUUAGGAAAGUAAUUUCAUAAUGUCCCAACUAUAAUAGUUUAUGAUUACAUUUAAAUUAAAAGAUCUGGCUUUCUUCCUUGUGUGGAAGAGAAUAUAUCUUUAGAAAUAAGAGAAAAACUCAUAAGAAAAAUAUUCAAUAAUUCUGAUCCCUUUUUUUCUCUCUACACUGGCUUAAAACAUAGAUGGGAUGAGAAAUGGGGAAAAUAAAUAUUACUAUUAGU
rnacentral:lncRNA from 1 species